CUACUGUAUUGAGUUUGAUAGCUUUCAUUUGAUUAACACAUCUUCCCAAAAGGUAUCCCACCUCAAUUUGAUGGCUCAGGAGACAGGAAAAUCCAUCACUUCUCUCCGUGAAAGUUCAGCACAGUUCAUGCUUGCUCUGAACAAUCAAAAGCCUUUCCAGAGUAGGGGUACAGCAAGCUGCCUUGGGUGAAGGUGUGCUGGGGUUUGGAGACAUGGUGACAUGAAGAGCUUCAUGCCAGCCACGAGAUGUUCAUCUCACAAAUGUGGCAGUGCAAAAGACUGCACCUGAUUAUGAUCCUGGGAAGCUGGCUUCUGGAGGUAAAUGCUUCACCUUCCCUCACUGCCAGUAGCCAGGAAGACUCUGAACUCAAGUGUCAUUUUCUCAAAGACACACUUCAUAUUGUGGACAGGGAGAGCAGGCGGGUGAAGAUGUUUAUUACCUUCUAAGGGCUUUUAAUAAAAUGUUUGGAAUGGACGGUCUGGUUCCAUGUCUUUCUUGGCAACUGAUCAUAAUACUCUAACCUUUAUGGCGAUUAAAUGAUGAAUUUCCAGAAACAGAGCAAAGUAAGCAAGCAUGCUGCCAUUUCAGAGUGGCAAAACAAAGCAGCACAGGGCUGCAAAGGGAC
rnacentral:lncRNA from 1 species